GAAAAGAAAUCAACCGAGAUUCCGAGAGUAGUGGCGAGCGAAAUUGGAACAGCCUGUACGAUUUAGCAUUUGAGUUAACAAAACGGUCUUGAAAGUCCGGCCAUAGAAGGUGAUAGCCCUGUAUGUGAAAACUCGAUUGUGGAACUAGGCGUACGACAAGUAGGGCGGGGCACGAGAAACCCUGUCUGAACAUGGGGGGACCAUCCUCCAAGGCU
rnacentral:rRNA from 1 species